CAGCAGCCGCGGUAAUACGGAGGGGGCUAGCGUUGUUCGGAAUUACUGGGCGUAAAGCGCACGUAGGCGGCUUGGUAAGUUAGAGGUGAAAGCCCGGAGCUCAACUCCGGAAUUGCCUUUAAGACUGCCGAGCUAGCAGGUGAGAGAGGUAAGUGGAAUUCCGAGUGUAGAGGUGAAAUUCGUAGAUAUUCGGAAGAACACCAGUGGCGAAGGCGGCUUACUGGCUCAUACUGGACGCUGAGGUGCGAAAGCGUGGGGAGCAAACAGGAUUAGAUACCCCCGUAGUCCCUGUCUUUUAUAC
rnacentral:rRNA from 1 species